GACGAACGCUGGCGGCGUGCUUAACACAUGCAAGUCGAACGGAAAGGCCCUGCUUUUGUGGGGUGCUCGAGUGGCGAACGGGUGAGUAACACGUGAGUAACCUGCCCUUGACUUUGGGAUAACUUCAGGAAACUGGGGCUAAUACCGGAUAGGAGCUCCUGCUGCAUGGUGGGGGUUGGAAAGUUUCGGCGGUUGGGGAUGGACUCGCGGCUUAUCAGCUUGUUGGUGGGGUAGUGGCUUACCAAGGCUUUGACGGGUAGCCGGCCUGAGAGGGUGACCGGCCACAUUGGGCCUGAGGUACGGCCCAGACUCCAACGGGAGGCAGCAGUGGGGAAUAUUGCACAGUGGGCGGAAGCCUGAUGCAGCAACGCCGCGUGCGGGAUGACGGCCUUCGGGUUGUAAACCGCUUUCGCCUGUGACGAAGCGUGAGUGACGGUAAUGGGUAAAGAAGCACCGGCUAACUACGUG
rnacentral:rRNA from 1 species